rnacentral:rRNA from 1 species
GAUGAACGCUGGCGGCGUGCUUAACACAUGCAAGUCGAACGGGAAUUAUUUUAUUGACACUUCGGUCGAUUUAAUUUAAUUCUAGUGGCGGACGGGUGAGUAACGCGUGGGUAACCUGCCUUAUACAGGGGGAUAACAGUCAGAAAUGGCUGCUAAUACCGCAUAAGCGCACAGAGCUGCAUGGCUCAGUGUGAAAAACUCCGGUGGUAUAAGAUGGACGCGCGUUGGAUUAGCUGGUUGGGGGGGUAACGGCUCACCAAGGCGACGAUCCAUAGCCGGCCUGAGAGGGUGAACGGCCACAUUGGGACUGAGACACGGCCCAGACUCCUACGGGAAGCAGCAGUGGGGAAUAUUGCACAAUGGGGGAAACCCUGAUGCAGCGACGCCGCGUGAAGGAAGAAGUAUCUCGGUAUGUAAACUUCUAUCAGCAGGGAAGAUAGUGACGGUACCUGACUAAGAAGCCCCGGCUAACUACGUG